AUUGAACGCUGGCGGCAGGCCUAACACAUGCAAGUCGAGCGAGCGGCGGACGGGAGAAUAAUGUAUGGGGACUGCCCGAUAGAGGGGGAUAACUACUGGAAACGGUGGCUAAUACCGCAUACUAUCGGAUAACCCAUAUGGGAGUAGCUAGUAGGUUGGGUAAAGGCUAACCUAGGAGACGAUCUGUAGCUGGUCUGAGAGGAUGAUCAGCCACACUGGGACGGAGACACGGCCCAGACUCCUACGGAGGCAGCAGUGGGGAAUAUUGCACAAUGGGCGCAAGCCUGAUGCAGCCAUGCCGCGUGUAUGAAGAAGGCCUUAGGGUGGUAAAGCACUUUCAGCGGGGAGGCGUUACCCGCAGAAGAAGCACCGGCUAACUCCGUGCCAGCAGCCGCGGUAAUAC
rnacentral:rRNA from 1 species